GGUAUUAUACUUUAUAAUAGAAGAAAUGAUUUGCAAUCAUAAAGAAAGACUAAAUCUUUUAUACCA
rnacentral:tRNA from 3 species